GGCGAACGGGUGAGUAACACGUGGGGAACCUGCCCUUCUCUCUGGGAUAACGUCGAGAAAUCGGCGCUAAUACCGGAUACUCCUUGCGGACCGCAUGGUCCGCUCGGGAAAGCUCCGGCGGAGAGGGAUGGCCCCGCGGCCCAUUAGCUAGUUGGUGAGGUAACGGCCCACCAAGGCGACGAUGGGUAGCCGAGCUGAGAGGCUGAUCGGCCACACUGGGACUGAGACACGGCCCAGACUCCUACGGGAGGCAGCAGUGGGGAAUCUUGCGCAAUGGGCGAAAGCCUGACGCAGCAACGCCGCGUGCGGGAUGAAGGCCCUCGGGUCGUAAACCGCUUUCAGCAGGGAUGAAAAUGACAGUACCUGCAGAAGAAGCCCCGGCUAAAUACGUGCCAGCAGCCGCGGUAAUACGUAUGGGGCAAGCGUUAUCCGGAUUUAUUGGGCGUAAAGCGCGCGUAGGCGGCUUGUUAAGUCAG
rnacentral:rRNA from 1 species